rnacentral:tRNA from 1 species
GGGUGGGUAUCCAAGUGGUUCAAGGGGGCGGCCUGUAAAGCCGUCGGCUUCGGCCUACGCAGGUUCGAAUCCAGCUCCACCUA